rnacentral:rRNA from 1 species
GAUGAACGCUGGCGGCGUGCCUAAUACAUGCAAGUCGAGCGAACAGAUGAGGAGCUUGCUCCUCUGACGUUAGCGGCGGACGGGUGAGUAACACGUGGAUAACCUACCUAUAAGACUGGGAUAACUUCGGGAAACCGGAGCUAAUACCGGAUAAUAUAUUGAACCGCAUGGUUCAAUAGUGAAAGACGGUUUUGCUGUCACUUAUAGAUGGAUCCGCGCCGCAUUAGCUAGUUGGUAAGGUAACGGCUUACCAAGGCGACGAUGCGUAGCCGACCUGAGAGGGUGAUCGGCCACACUGGAACUGAGACACGGUCCAGACUCCUACGGGAGGCAGCAGUAGGGAAUCUUCCGCAAUGGGCGAAAGCCUGACGGAGCAACACCGCGUGAGUGAUGAAGGUCUUCGGAUCGUAAAACUCUGUUAUUAGGGAAGAACAAAUGUGUAAGUAACUAUGCACGUCUUGACGGUACCUAAUCAGAAAGCCACGGCUAACUACGUG